AUUGAACGCUGGCGGCAGGCCUAACACAUGCAAGUCGAACGGUAACAGGAAGAAGCUUGCUUCUUUGCUGACGAGUGGCGGACGGGUGAGUAAUGUCUGGGAAACUGCCUGAUGGAGGGGGAUAACUACUGGAAACGGUAGCUAAUACCGCAUAACGUCGCAAGACCAAAGAGGGGGACCUUCGGGCCUCUUGCCAUCGGAUGUGCCCAGAUGGGAUUAGCUGGUAGGUGGGGUAACGGCUCACCUAGGCGACGAUCCCUAGCUGGUCUGAGAGGAUGACCAGCCACACUGGAACUGAGACACGGUCCAGACUCCUACGGGAGGCAGCAGUGGGGAAUAUUGCACAAUGGGCGCAAGCCUGAUGCAGCCAUGCCGCGUGUAUGAAGAAGGCCUUCGGGUUGUAAAGUACUUUCAGCGGGGAGGAAGGGAGUAAAGUUAAUACCUUUGCUCAUUGACGUUACCCGCAGAAGAAGCACCGGCUAACUCCGUG
rnacentral:rRNA from 1 species